CUUAAGUAUUGGAUCAAGGAAGGGAGCCACACCGUAUUGCAAAUGUGCUGUUUUGGUAAAGACGUCUCCUAGUGACGUUUUUCCCUCUAGGUCUUGCAAAACUUCCAAAGAAAAACCUUGCAUAGUCCCAGCCGCUGGUUCAUGCCACACGCAGCACUGAGAGUAGAAGUACCGUCCCUGGCCCUUCAGCGAGUCUGGCAAGAACUCUGGUCACCCCUCCUGUCUGUGACGAGCAGGCACCAGUCCGCUGGGUCAGGGCAGCACAGGGCAAGGAGCAGAAUGCUCGCCUUCAGAUGUGGGUGAGAAACACUGGGGCUUCCUGGUAGCCAGAACUCAGCACCAUCAAGCGGCUGUGUGGAGAAGGUACCCUCACUUCCCUCCGUUUUGGUGCCCCACCUACACGCCAGGCGAAGCGCUGGUGUCUGUCCUGACGCACAUGCAGACAGAAAGCCGACACCCUUCCCCCAGUGCAGCCAUGGUCCUCGCCCCAUACAGAGACGGGCGUUCUGAGAGGUGCGGUGCUGCCCGGGUCCCGUCGGGGAGAGGCAGGUCUGUCUUUCUCCACGACGCCUUCUUGCCGCCACGUCGUCCCCUCUGGCCGUAUGACGAAAACCGCAUUGUAUCUUCCCAAUUAUUCCUCUUUCUGUAGGUUGCAAGGGAUCAACAACAGGAAACAGGGCAGACAGCAGCCGGAGAUGCUGCUGAAAAUGAAGUGUUCGCUUCAGGAGCUGAGGGUCCUGCACUGGCCGAGUGCCCCAUCCAGGAGCCCCUCUCCUCCGAGAUCCCGUCUGGGGAGUCGGCUCUGGAAAACCUCCCACUCCCGCACUCUCUGCAGGAUGGCAACCAGGAUGUGCAGCCCCUGAGGCCCCAGGACGCCCUCCCUGGACGCCAGGAGUGCUGGGUGCUGGAGACCACCGUCAUCUAUAUGCCAAAGCUGGAGGAGGAGCAGGCCAUCCAGGAGACGCCCCGAGGACAGUCAGAGCCUGAGCAGGAGGCAGCUCUGUGGGCCACCCGGUCGGCCCAGGGCCUGCGGGCCGCUCAGAGGGAGUGUGGGAUUGAGAUGACCUCUCUCAUCCGUCUGGAGCAGGGCUGCCCCCUCCAAGGGGCCACCAAGCCUGGGGACACUACCUCCUUCACCGUGAUCACGAUGCCCAAGGACUCGGAGGAGCCCAGGGACGGGCCCCCUCCGGGCGUUUAGAGCAAGUUCAUCCCCCAAGACCCCCAAGAAGCCCCCCCCCCCGCAGAGCUGGCCCGGACUUCCACUUGGAGGCAGAGACGCUGGGCACCUGAUGCCCACCUUCAGACGCCACCUGCACAGGGCCUCACGCUCUUCCUAAGCAGGGGAAGAGGAGGGAACAGAGCCCCACUCCGGUUUGGGCCGCUUGGAAAGGUCUGAACGAGCUCUGCGUCUCACUCGCUUCGGAAGCUGUGCUUUAGCGGCAGCGCAGGUUCCUAAUCACGUCUCUGUUGUUCCAGAAGGAGGG
rnacentral:lncRNA from 1 species